rnacentral:lncRNA from 1 species
CCUGUCUGUAUUAUGUAUAAAUAAUGUGAUCAAACUAAGGUCUUGCACUAGGAUAAACCGUCAUUACUCACACAGCUUUUUUGCGCACGUUUUAAUCGUGCCCAGAAAAAUAAAAUGCUACAUGUAAUGGACAAGAUAAUCAAAUGUUGAUUUUCAAGAUUGCUAUAACUAUCAAAUAUUUACAUAAGCUGAAAAUAUUAUUGCCAUCUGUUUGCCGUUCAAGUAACGAAUCUUUAUUGGUUUUUUUUCGGGGUUUGUUUAAACUAGCUUUAUUGGAUUUUUCAUAUGAGUGGAACUAGUAGCUAUCAAUCCACUUGCGCAUUAUCAACUUUAAAGUUAAAAUGAUAUUAGUUUUACAGAUUACAAUGUUUCCAUUAGUCUCAAAUUUUAGAAAAUUGAUCAGCAAGGCAAGAUAGUUUUACUACUAUACUUGGAAAAAAGGCAUCGUUGGUUUAUGUCUGUCAUAUUUGUUUUUCGUAAACUGUUUUGUUAUAAAUUAGGCCGUUAGUUUUUCAUCGAAUUGUUUUAUAUUUUUAAUGUCGGGGCCUCUAAUAGCAGACUAUACGGUAUGGGUUUUUCUCAUUGUUGAAAGCCGUAAGGUUGCAUAUAUUUGCUUACAUUUACUUCAUUUGUACUUUAGUGGAUAGUUGUAUCACUGGCAAUUAUAAUCUUUUAAUUAACAUUAAUAACGAAUAGAGAAGAAAUAGUAUACACUUCUGCAAGUUACGUUUACAAACUUUAUUACCAGAUGUGUAGAUCUUUGAUAAA